CCGCAGUAUUUUAACUGUGCUAAGGUAGCAUAAUAAUUACGCUUUUUAUAAAAGUCUAGUAUGAAAGAGCUGACGACUCCCAGGCUUUCCUGGCUUAUGAUUGUAAAUUUAUUUUUAAGUAAAAAAGCUUAACUACCUAGAAAGACGAUAAGACCCUAUAAAGCUUCACUGAUAAGAGCCUCGUGAAAAGAGUUCGGCGUUGGUUUGGUUAGUUGAGCUGGGGCGGCAAUUAAAUUUCUUUAAUGAAGAAAACAAAAUCUUUGAGUGGAUAGAUCUAAAAAGAAAUAGAAUAAGCUACUUUAGGGAUAACAGCGCAAUCUUUUUAUAGAGAACGUAUCGAUAAAAAGGACUUGCGACCUCGAUGUUGAAUUGAGGGGCCUAAAUUAAGCAAAAAUAA
rnacentral:rRNA from 1 species